GGGGAUUUAGCUCAGUGGUAGAGCGCUUGCCUAGCAAGCACAAGGCCCUGGGUUCGAUCCUCAGCUCUG
rfam:Rattus norvegicus chromosome 2, whole genome shotgun sequence.